rnacentral:lncRNA from 1 species
CUCUCAGGAGGUUAAAUGCCCUAGUAUGAGUGUAUUAAAAAUGAAAUUGAUUCGGUCCGCACCGGUUCAGAUUCAAUAUCCGAUGAUUCAGUUACAUUGUUUCCGAUGCUUUUCCUCUUUUAAUCGCGCAUGCGCAUCAGCUUUCACUCUGCAGCAACACUUCUAAGCGAAAUAUUGAUAUGGUGCUAAUUAAUGGACACUUACAUAGAUCUCUGCCAAUCGUUCGGUGUGCCCCUCUGGGUGGGGCCGUUGCUCCACGCGGUCUCCAGGCUGAAGACGACAGACCGGAUCAAACGAAGAAAAGUUUACCGUUUAAUCCAGCGUCAGUUACUGAACAGGAUCGGCUGUAGCACACGUGUCAAACCCACUUACGUGUACCCAGCUGAGCUCAAAGAGAUGGUCCGAGCAGCCUUUCCAAAAGACAUCUGUGACUAUGACGACCCCUGUCACGAAAAUGUGAGAGGAAUACAGUUAAAGGGAUAGUUCACCCAAAAAUGAAAAGGUGAUGCCUAUCUGCU